GACGAGGGGUCCUAGCGUUGUUCGGAAUUAUUGGGCGUAAAGCGUAUGUAGGCGGCUUAAACAGUCAGGUGUGAAAGCCCUGGGCUUAACCUAGGAAGUGCACUUGAUACUAUUAAGCUAGAGUAUUGGAGAGGGCAGUGGAAUUCCUGGUGUAGUGGUGAAAUACGUAGAUAUCAGGAGGAACACCGGUGGCGAAGGCGGCUGCCUGGCCAAAUACUGACGCUGAGAUACGAAAGCGUGGGUAGCAAACAGG
rnacentral:rRNA from 1 species